rnacentral:rRNA from 1 species
AGGUUGCUAGCCUGCUAGCACCCCCGAACGACUAAGCCAUGCGAGUCCAGGUGCCUGGAUGUUGGUGCCUGGCGAACUGCUGAGUAACACCUUGCCAACCUAACCUGAGGAGGGGAAUAAGCCCGGGAAAACCUAGCCGCAAUUAAGCCCGUAAGAGGAUGGUUAGGUCCCGAAACUGGGGACAAUUCCCCAUAGGAGCCUCGGCCUGGAAUGGUGAGGCUCUGAAAGGCUUCAGCAAAAGCUUGGAGCGCCUCAGGAUGGGGCUGGGGCCUAUCAGGCUGUUGGUGAGGUAAAGGCUCACCAAACCUAAGACGGGUAGGGGCCAUGGAAGUGGGAGCCCCCAGAUGGAUUCUGAGACAUGAAUCCAGGGUCUACGGACCGCAGCAGGCGCGAAAAUUUCGCAAUGCGCGCAAGCGCGACGAAGGGACCCGGAGUGCCAAUCCUUCGGGGUUGGCUUUUCCCCAGUUUAAAAGGCUGGGGGAAUAAGGGGUGGGUAAGACAGGUGGCAGCCGCCAUGGUAAUACCUGCGCCCCGAGUGGUUCCCACGAUUAUUGGGCUUAAAGGGUCCGUAGCCGGCCUUGCAAGUUCCUGGUGAAAUCUCGCAGCAAACUGCGAGGCUGGCCAGGGAUACUGCGAGGCUUGGGACCGGGAGAGGCCGGGGGUACUCCCGGGGUAGGGGCGAAAUCCUAUAAUCCCGGGAGGACCACCAGUGGCGAAGGCGCCCGGCUGGAACGCGCCCGACGGUGAGGGGCGAAAGCUGGGGGAGCGAACCGGAUUAGAUACCCGGGUAGUCCCGGCUGUAAACGAUGCGGGCUAGGUGUCGGACGGGCUUAGAGCCCGUCCGGUGCCGCAGGGAAGCCGUUAAGCCCGCCGCCUGGGGAGUACGGCCG